UUGUAUAUGUAAUAAUGAACACAGACCGAAAUUCAAACAAUUCAAUUGUCAAUAUUAAAAUAUUAUUAACAAACAACAAAAGACAGUUGACAUUACAUCACAGUACAUUAUGAAUCACCUGAGGUCGUCAUGAGAUGUUGUCAUAUGAUAGAAUAAAUUACGUUUUUCUUUGGAAUUACGUCUUACGGAAAAAUAUUUGAUUGCUGUCGUUUGAUAUGAAUCAUAUGUAGAUUCCAAUGAAUCGACAAAAUCGAUUUUUCCAAACAAAACUGAGCAAAUACGUACUUUUAACGAUGAACUUUGCACGUCCGUGUAAAUAUGUCCAACCUGUAUUUUAGAACGGAAACUGGAUGCAUUCCAACCACCGAAAGCAGGUUCGCAGUGAAUUCAAUCUAAUUCUUUUUAACUCAGAUACAAAAUAUGAGGAUAUUCGCAGGGAGGAACCGUUGCUCUAAAACUAUUCCUAUAUACUACCUAUUCGUUCAAACAUAAAUUCGCCACCAUUUUAUAAUUAACACUCCGAAUGUUAAAACUGUAAUAAACAGAUGAUUCAUUAAAAGAAGGUAAACGGAGUCAAAAUAUCACACCUGAGUCAUGUGGCACGAUAAUUUCAGUAAGUACCUCAUAUUUGUGUAAGUAUGUUUUCAAUAUUAAAGUGAUUCUAGUUAUUUAUAGUAUGUUGGUAACAUGCAACGAUCUGUUAUCUUGCCACUCAGGCAAGGAAACACCAUCCUUUCAUAUAUUGUUUUAUAUGUUUAAAUUUUCUGUCGUUCUGAGACUCGAUCGACUUCACUGAUAAACAAUUAUUUUUUUUCUGUUGUUGCCGGUCCCGUUUGCAAUCCGAGCUACCUUUCAUUUCACGUUUAUGCAAUGAUGUUGUUCCAGUUGAAAAAUACUGUUGCUAGUAAAAGUGAUUUUCGUAGCGACAGUAAAAACGGACUGACGUAUUGAAUCAAGUUGAUCGCUUAAAUGAUUGAAUAAAAAGUUGAAGAUGUAUUUGCUGGUUGUAAAUUUAUUAUAUUCAUUUAUGUAUAAGCUGCAAAUAUUUCUCUUCUCAUAAACAGCCCCUUUUCAUGUACCGUCACUGCAGUCAGAGUUUGUAACUGCAUCCUUGUUUCUGCCACAAUAUUCUUUGCUUCUAGAAACGCCUGGAUAAACUGUUCAUAUUACGCGGUAAAUCACAGAAACUGUUCUAAAGUUUCAUCAGGCAACGUAUUUACAAAAAGUAAAAAGCAUUUCUGGAAUUAAAAUACGUGCGAUAAGAUAAAGAAAUGCUUUCAAAUGAAAUUCCAUUGCUUUUCAUUCUCGAUUGGAUAAAAUAUACUUAUACUUUCUACAUUAUUUUCUCUGCCUCAACAAAAAACAGAGUGAAGAAAACAGCAAGUAAAAAAGUUUUAAUUUAAACUGGUCUAGCUAAGGAGUAAAGUUACUAUGUAACGGAAAGAGUUCUUUCACGUGGUUCUCCGAGACUGUGCAUUAAAUACUUAAUUCUUUAUCUUUUGCUGCAUCUUUUUUCCAUCUUAUGCCUUAAAGCGUGCAUGAAAAAUUACGAUGGAUCCAAAGCGUCAGAAUAACCGUGCAUUCCAUCGUAGUUUUUUUUUAUACGUUUUACGUGAUCGGUUUUUUUUUGCAAAAAAUAGAUGUUUGCGCAACUAUGCAUCGUUGGGGUCAAUCGGAAAAAAAUUGCGAAGUUCACUACACAAUAUAAUUGACACGAAUAUUAACUUCUAUUUAAAUUUCAAUUUUUUAUCGUGAUUUAUGAUUGCCGCCUAUCGAGUUAUUGGAGACGGAUUUUAAUAUUAGAAAAUUAGAUUUAAAUAUUGUAAAGAAAAUUUUGAAUAUUUUAUUCAUAUUUUCUGUUAAAUUAUAACGAAUUAUUUGCUGAGUUUACUAUAUUACCAGACGCGAAUCCACGUGGUUGCGGUCUAGCCAGAAGCUUCUAUCACUUUUUUUUGUUUAUAAACGAUUUACGAUCGAGAACUAAAACAAGAAAUCUUUACCGUCUACUGUUUGUGCGAAGUUACACGCGUAUACGUAAUAUCGUCGCGAAUAAUUUAAUAAUGGUUGAAAACUGUUUGUUGAAUAAUUUAUUUACGUGUGACUAUUUUGAUGAUAUA